CAGUCCUCUCAUGCCUUUUCAGACCAAAUGGGGGAGGGAAAAACAGAUACCCUUCAGAGAUAAAAAGCCUAACGAGGCACUUGAUGCAUUAUACAUGUCAAUACAUACACAUACACACUUCGGACCAUUUAAGCUUCAUUCCACUUUUCUUGUUAAUUAUUUUCUAGAUAACAUCGUUGGUAUCAUAUUAUUUUAUUUAUAUGCAAAUUAUCAAGUGCCUACAAAUCACAUAGCAUGCUUGAAAUCAAGAAUAAUUCACUUUAUUAAAAUUACUAAAUAUAGAACAUGCAAACUACACAAAAUCACAGAUUCAUUAUUUUAAUUUUUUUAGAAAUACUCUUUAAGACAUUUAAAGAAAUACUCAGUUCCUUCCCAGAACCUCGAAUUUUUUCUACACCGUUCUUCUUCUCCUAUUGUCCUUCUCUCUCUUGAUCACUCUCUCUCUC
rnacentral:lncRNA from 1 species